UUCGUUGAGUGUGGUUUAGAAGUGGAAUAAAGUAAGUGGUCGAAGGUGAGAAGGAAACACACGCAUACACACAUAUAAUUGACUGCAACAAGUGCACAAAUAAACUAAAAAACGCAUAUCGUCAGCGACUUAAAUGAAAUAAAUUUUUAUCUGUUUUAAAUUGGUUUUGCUUUAGUAUUUUUUUAUUGGCAUUCUCUACAUAAAUUUAAAUGCAUUCUGCGGGAGUCCGCAGCUCAUCGGCGGUGCCCUUAAAAUGUUAAUUGUUUUGUUGAUAUGCUCGAUCAUUUUCAAUUUGAGUGAAGCUUAUGCAGAAAAUACAAAGUUAUAAAUUCACAACGUUUGAGAAGAAAUGCGGUUACGAGGUACAUGAAUUCAUACAGAUUUCUCGUAACAAGUCCGAAGCCUCCACAGGCACUACAAAGCAAGCGAUGGCUGUGGACUUACACAACACAAGUGGCCAUGAAUACUAGAGCAAUACCGAAUUAACUGACUGUGAAUACGGAUGUAGCCAGAAGUGCGACCGAAUCCAGUAUUGAAGGCGCGGAAACCCAAAUGAGCCACCACCGAAGCAACAUAAGCUCCAAACCUGUACGCUACUAAACAUCAGUUCGUGCGAGGUACCGGAGCAGGCAGACAAAUUCAUAUUGACUCUGUACAAUCCAUUGGCGCAAACAAUAUUUGAUUAUGUGCGCGUACCGGUGCCAGAUGUGAAUUAUCAGGUUAAGGACUUUGAUGGUGUAACGAUUGAGACACAAUUCUUACCGGUGCCAGCGCCAAUGCAAAAUCUGAAUUUCUGCAAAUCUAAAGCGCCGUAUGAACUCGUCUUCACCGCACGUGAUCUACACCCUCUUGGUUUUAAAUCGUACUAUAUAACAAAAACAAAUGAAAAUCAUAUGAUACCUGAGCCGGAUCCCGAAAACAUGUCGAGUUUCACAAGCAUCGGAAAUAAGUUCAGUACAUUCGUCCCACGUCUCCUUGUGGCCGUCAAUCUUGAUUUGGACGCCAAAUAGUACAGUUAGAUUAACACUUAAAAGCACGAAAAAGGUAAAAAUGGAACUGCCUGUUGAAGUGUAGAACCAACGCAUAGGAAGAGUUGAAUCAUAGGCUUGCAGAACAACAACGCUGAAGAAAGAAUAUAAGAAAGGGAUUACGGAUGCUAAUAACACAGGCCAACAACCAAACAACUUUUUCGAUAAUUUUAACUAAUUACUUUGUAAUUUGGUGUCCUGAUUACGAAAACAAAUAUUAAAAAGUUAUAUCACCCAUCAAUUUUUCACAUUUUACAAUUAAGUAAAAAUAAAGUUUAUGUACCAAAAUGUAUCGGAUAUAUUUCACAGUCCUGUGAGGUACAGUUUCUAAAACAGCUAUGGGUGUUUCCUGAAGGUUUUUCUAUGCUGAAAACGAAUAUGACCUUGAAAAUGCUCCAGCACGUCAGAAUUUUCGGCAAUUUGAGGUUAAAUAGUCAAAAAAUGCAGAUUUUGGCCAUUUUUUUAAUAUUUUUUUGAGCAAGGUAAAGUUGUUUUUUUUAAUUUUCCACAACGGCAUCGCAAAGUACUAGUAUUCAGCUUUAAAAUCCAUUUUUAAAAAUAUUUUUGCGAUUAAUAUAAACAAAGCUAUACUAUUUUGAAUUCGCCCUUUACAGGGGCGUUAGAGAGUUAGAAAGGUUGAAUUUGCAUACCUAAAAGUCUCCAAUUCAAAAUAGAAUAACUUUUUUUAUAUUAAUCGUAAAAAUAUUUUUAAAAAAGGACCUUAAAGCUAAAAAGUAGCACUUUACGAUGCCGUUGUGGAAAAUUAAAAAAAAACUUUACCUUGCUCAAAACAAAUUAAAAAAAUGGCCAAAAUCUGCAUUUUUUGACUAUUUAACCACAAAUUGCCAAAAAUUCUGACGUGCUGGAGCAUUUUCAAGGUCAUAUUCGUUUUCAGCAUAAAAAAACCUUCAGGAAACACCCAUAGCGGUUUUAGAAGCUGUAAAGAAGCGAGAUUUUGUAGGCCUGUGUAAUCGUUUCAUUAUAAAAAUGGGUUCAAUGUAAGUGCAGAAGGCAGUCUUAGAAUUUACACUAAAUAAUAAUACCACGCAAACUCAUAUUAAAAAAUGAAAUGAAAUGAAUUCAAAAAUGUCAGCAUUGCGCAACCGGAUUGAGUUAAAAGAGUUCAUUUGCACCAGUAAGCAGUUGGUAGCAAUAGCAAAUUCGCUUUUUGUCAGCAGUAACUGUAAACGGAAGUCGUGCCGGCGAAUUGCUAGCUCAUUUCGCGCUCCAACUGAAAGAGUAGAUUCGAUUAUUGCAAUGUAAACACAAACCAA